rnacentral:rRNA from 1 species
UGGGGAAUAUUGGACAAUGGGCGAAAGCCUGAUCCAGCAAUGCCGCGUGUGUGAAGAAGGUCUUCGGAUUGUAAAGCACUUUCGACGGGGACGGAUGAUGACGGUACCCGUAGAAGAAGCCCCGGCUAACUUCGUGCCAG